UAAUACAUGCAAGUAGAACGCUGAAGAGAGGAGCUUGCUCUUCUUGGAUGAGUUGCGAACGGGUGAGUAACGCGUAGGUAACCUGCCUGGUAGUGGGGGAUAACUAUUGGAAACGAUAGCUAAUACCGCAUAAUAGCAGUUAUUGCAUGAUAACUGUUUGAAAGGUGCAAAUGCAUCACUACCAGAUGGACCUGCGUUGUAUUAGCUAGUUGGUGGGGUAACGGCUCACCAAGGCGACGAUACAUAGCCGACCUGAGAGGGUGAUCGGCCACACUGGGACUGAGACACGGCCCAGACUCCUACGGGAGGCAGCAGUAGGGAAUCUUCGGCAAUGGACGGAAGUCUGACCGAGCAACGCCGCGUGAGUGAAGAAGGUUUUCGGAUCGUAAAGCUCUGUUGUAAGAGAAGAACGAGUGUGAGAGUGGAAAGUUCACACUGUGACGGUAUCUUACCAGAAAGGGACGGCUAACUACGUGCCA
rnacentral:rRNA from 1 species